AAUAACACCCUAUUUUAGAAGCCGGUUAACUCCAAAGAAUGUGGAAGCAUUGAUAUGCUUACAAGAUUGGUUGCGGGCCUCGGGUUCAUCAAAAUUUUGCAUGGGAGGAAUUGAGAAUUUUGUCGAGGUACCUGAUCCAGAAGAAUGACAUGCUUAAAGUGCAGAGCUUCAACACAAACCUCUCCCUAUUGGAGUUUCGAAAUCUGCUGCUUUUGUUUAGACAACUGCAAGUGGCACUUGCUAUCUGAUCUUUUCUGAAUGUUAACUGUUCGGAAAUAGUGUCGUUGUUGUUUCUGAUCUUGUACUUUGAUGGUUGCUGGAAGCAGGUCAGGUUGGAUUAGACAGCCUUUAUAUUUACGUAGCACAAUGAAUCUUAUUAGCGUUCAGUAUAUCUAGUAAGCUGUUAGCUAGCAUGUUCUCA